GACGAACGCGGGCGGCGUGCUUAACACAUGCAAGUCGAACGGGCCUGCCUGGCUUUGGUUGGGUGGGUGAGUGGCGAACGGGUGAGUAACACGUGAGUAACCUGCCCUCUUCUCUUGGAUAACUGCUUGAAAGGGCGGCUAAUACGGGAUGUUCUGGCUGCCUCGCAUGGGGUGGUUUGGAAAGAUUCGGCCUGGUUUUGGUUGUUUUGGUGGGGGAUGGGCUCGCGGCUUAUCAGCUUGUUGGUGGGGUGAUGGCCUACCAAGGCGGUGACGGGUAGCCGGCCUGAGAGGGUGGACGGUCACACUGGGACUGAGACACGGCCCAGACUCCUGCGGGAGGCAGCAGUGGGGGAUUUUGCACAAUGGGCGCAAGCCUGAUGCAGCGACGCCGCGUGAGGGAUGGAGGCCUUCGGGUUGUGAACCUCUGUCGCCGGUGAUGUAGGCUCUGCUUUGUGGGUGGGGUUGACG
rnacentral:rRNA from 1 species